GUUUUGCGUCGUCAUGAGCUUCCUAGUGUGUCUAGUAAUAAAGAUGUAGCAGUGUGUGAUGCUUGUCAGCAGGGGAAGAGUCAUCAACUUCCUUUUUCGGAGUCCAGUCGUGAGGUGAAACAUCCUUUAGAACUUGUGUUUUCAGAUGUAUGGGGUCCUGCUCAGACUUCUGUUAGUGGUCAUAAUUACUAUAUCAGUUUUGUUGAUGCUUACAUCCGCUUUACCUGGCUUUAUCUUAUCAAACGUAAAUCUGAUGUGUUUGACAUUUUUGUUCAGUUCCAAAAACAUGUUGAACGCCUUCUCAAGCACAAAAUUGUUCAUGUUCAGUCGGACUGGGGUGGCGAGUAUCGCAACCUCAACUCCUUCUUUCAGUCGCUUGGGAUCACUCACCGUUUAGCAUGUCCACAUACACAUCAGCAGAAUGGUUCAGUAGAACGUAAGCAUCGUCACAUUGUUGAAGCUGGUCUGACUCUUUUGGCCCAUGCAUCUGUUCCGUUUCGUUUUUGGAGUGAUGCUUUCACCACUGCAUGUUUUCUCAUCAAUCGUACUCCCACUCGUGUUUUGAAUAUGAAGACUCCCAUUGAAGUUCUCCUUAAUGAACAACCGGACUACACCUUUCUCAAGGUGUUUGGGUGUGCUUGCUGGCCCCAUCUCCGUCCAUAUAACAAGCGUAAGCUCGAGUUUCGUUCCAAGAAGUGUGUUUUUCUUGGUUAUAGCUCUCUUCAUAAAGGAUACAAAUGUCUUCAUGUGCCCACUAAUCGUGUCUACAUUUCUCGGGAUGUUGUGUUUGAUGAGCAUGUUUUUCCCUUUGCCAAACUCCCUGUGUCCACUACCGAGCCACCUGUCAUGCAUUCAUCCUCUGUUGCUUCUGAU
rnacentral:rRNA from 1 species